rnacentral:tRNA from 1 species
CCCUGUAUGGUGCAAAUGGUCAGCAUGCUUGGCUGCUGACCUAAAGGUUGGAGGUUCAAGUCCACCCAUAGGCA